UACGUAGGGAGCAAGCGUUGUCCGGAAUCAUUGGGCGUAAAGCGCGCGUAGGUGGCCAUGUAAGUCCGCUGUGAAAGUCAAAGGCUCAACCUUUGAAAGCCGGUGGAUACUGCAUGGCUAGAGUACGGAAGAGGCGAGUGGAAUUCCUGGUGUAGCGGUGGAAUGCGCAGAUAUCGGGAGGAACACCGGUGGCGAAGGCGGUUCUCUGGGCCUUACCUGACGCUGAGGAGCGAAAGCGUGGGGAGCAAACGGG
rnacentral:rRNA from 1 species